AUUGAACGCUGGCGGCAUGCCUUACACAUGCAAGUCGAACGGUAACAGGUUAAGCUGACGAGUGGCGAACGGGUGAGUAAUGUAUCGGAACGUGCCCAGUCGUGGGGGAUAACUACUCGAAAGAGUGGCUAAUGCCGCAUACGACCUGAGGGUGAAAGCGGGGGACCGUAAGGCAUCGCGCGAUUGGAGCGGCCGAUAUCAGAUUAGCUAGUUGGUGGGGUAAAAGCCCACCAAGGCGACGAUCUGUAGCUGGUCUGAGAGGACGACCAGCCACACUGGGACUGAGACACGGCCCAGACUCCUACGGGAGGCAGCAGUGGGGAAUUGUGGACAAUGGACGCAAGUCUGAUCCAGCCAUGCCGCGUGCGGGAAGAAGGCCUUCGGGUUGUAAACCGCUUUUGUCAGGGAAGAAACGAGUUUCUCUAAUACAGAGACUUAAUGACGGUACCCGAAGAAUAAGCACCGGCUAACUACGUGCCAGCAGCCGCCGUAACAC
rnacentral:rRNA from 1 species